GGUACAGGAAGUGGCGUUUACCUGAAUACAGAUAGGAAAUAAAGCCGCUUGGCUGACUACAGAAAGCUAACGCUAAACAAGCCAAGCAAGUCAGAGCUGCUCAGAAUAGCAGCAUGAACCGUCUACGGAAGAAAAUCCCAGAGUAAAUUAAAUACAGCUUCCACUGACAACUACCCCAGAAGAUUAUGAGGAGAAAGAAGAAAACGUAAUUCUGUCAUUUCCUGUAAGAAGACUGCAGCCCAGGCC